ACGCUCGACACCUACGGGAGGCAGCAGUGAGGGAUAUUGGUCAAUGGGGGAAACCCUGAACCAGCAACGCCGCGUGAGGGAUGACGGUCUUCGGAUUGUAAACCUCUGUCCUCUGUGAAGAUAAUGACGGUAGCAGAGGAGGAAGCUCCGGCUAACUACGUGCCAGCAGCCGAGGUAAUCUGAGGCGGGCGUGGACGAAGGC
rnacentral:rRNA from 1 species